rnacentral:rRNA from 1 species
UAGGGAAUCUUCGGCAAUGGACGGAAGUCUGACCGAGCAACGCCGCGUGAGUGAAGAAGGUUUUCGGAUCGUAAAGCUCUGUUGUAAGAGAAGAACGGGUGUGAGAGUGGAAAGUUCACACUGUGACGGUAUCUUACCAGAAAGGGACGGCUAACUACGUGCCAGCAGCCGCGGUAAUACGUAGGUGGCAAGCGUUGUCCGGAAUUAUUGGGCGUAAAGCGCGCGCAGGUGGUUUAAUAAGUCUGAUGUGAAAGCCCACGGCUCAACCGUGGAGGGUCAUUGGAAACUGUUAAACUUGAGUGCAGGAGAGAAAAGUGGAAUUCCUAGUGUAGCGGUGAAAUGCGUAGAGAUUAGGAGGAACACCAGUGGCGAAGGCGGCUUUUUGGCCUGUAACUGACACUGAGGCGCGAAAGCGUGGGGAGCAAACAGGAUUAGAUACCCUGGUAGUCCACGCCGUAAACGAUGAGUGCUAAGUGUUGGUCUCAUAAGAGAUCAGUGCUGCAGCUAACGCAUUAAGCACUCCGCCUGGGGAGUACGACCGCAAGGUUG